ensembl:lncRNA
AAAGAACAGCAAAGAAAAGAACCCUUCUUUAGAGUGCUAGAUGAAAGAUUUCUUAGUGUUUAUUGAUAUAUAAUGGGUUCUCCAAGGGUUCUUUUCCUAAGUUUCCUAAGGGGAACUGAUAUGGAAUCUCUCGGUUAUAGGGUUCUACAUAGAAUAUUUAUUUAAGGGUUCCCCUUAUGGGAACAAAACAAAGAAUCUUGAGAAGUGUUAAAUCUUACUUAUAGGGGUUCCUUACAUAGAACAUUUAAGUGUUCCCUCAGAAGGACAAGACAAAGAACCUUUAAACGUGACUCUAACUUGAGCCUCGCUGAUGACGAGUAAGCGUGACGUGAUGAUGAGGAAGUGUGACAUGAUGACUAGGAAAACGUAGCAUGAUGAUGAGUAAGAGUGACGUGACGAUGUAGAAGCGUGACGUGAUGACGAGUCAAAGUGACGUGACGGCGCGCUCCUCUGUGUGCGUCCUCCAUAUUUAACGGAUGAGUAGUAAAAAAAAAUUUAAAAAAGGACAACGGACAAGAAGUUACAUAUCCUCACAACUUUAUUUUUCAGUGCUGAGGCUGACGACUGAAUGACAGAAAAGACAAGUUGAAAUCCCCUACGCUGAAUUAUGAAUCAUUCUCGUCCCCCCCAUCAGCACACGGCCGCUGAUGUCCGGGGACCGUGCGCCGGGAUGUCGCUGUGAAUAUCUGUCUACUCUCUCAGACAGCCCGCGGUGAUGCGGACUCGAGUCACGGCUCAGAAACGACCGCUUAUCUGCUCCAUCUCCGCCGAAACAGGACGCUCUCCGGAGUGCAGAAGGACAUGAGAUGUCUCGCUGUUUUUUCCACGUGACCGAUCAUCGAGGUCUGAACACUGCGGACAAAGAGUCGGGCGAAGUUCACGAACUCUGCGACGUUAAAACCGCUGUGAUCCUUCGCGCCCUUUUCCUUUAGGCGUAAUCUAAGGCUGGGUUUUCAUUCAUUACAACUCAGUUCUAUCCGGACGGUUCGCCUUCGUAACCGCGACUGAGCCCCAAUUUACUUACUGCGCUGAAAUGAGUAUUUAAUGUGGUUAAAUAUGAUUAAUCCGUAUGCGAGUUAUCCUUUGAGCGACACCGCAAAUGUUCCGUUCAGUUUUCAUUGAACUCCGCUGUAGAAGAACUCCGAAGAGUCCGGCGUCUCACACGGUCACGGAGCAGGGACGAUUAAUCGAGCAGGAUCUGCGUUAUGACCCAGUUACAAUCGCAGACGAACGGCAAAUUCAUUCGCUGGCUAUUAUCUCAGCGCGUGUAAAAGCCGCACACACAAACGCAGCGAGCGGUAAAAAGGCCAAGCGUGAAGUAGCAGUAAAGAUUUGUCAAUAUGAAAUUAAGUUUAACUGGAACGAUCGAUUUUACGCUAAACUUCUCCUCCACCGGCGAUUCCUGAGCCCCUCGUUUCCCGCUGAUGAUUUAGUCCUGCUGUCUGAGACUUCAUCGUUUUUCAUAUUCAUCUCUGUCUUUUUGUUAUUUAUUUAUUUUUUAUUUCUCUGCCGGUGUUGCGUUCCAGCCUCUGGAGGGAAACAUAGCCGCAUAAACACACACACACACACACACACACACACACACACACACACACACACACAAACUGAGACCGUAUUUGAGCUGAUAUUAUUUUAAACCAGACAUGCUCUCUGACUUGUAAACUCUCCUCAAAGCUAAACCUCACUUGACUUUUUUUUUUUUCCAAAACUCACUUACUUUUUAGUAAGAGUGACAGGAUGAUUAGGAAACGUGACAUGAUGACGAGUAAGACUGAGGUGAUGACGAAAAAACGUGACAUGAUGACGAGUAAUCAUGACAUGAUGACGAGAAAACGUGACGAUGAUGAGUAAGUGUGACAUGAUGACGAGAAAACGUGACAUGAUGAUGAGUAAUCAUGACAUGAUGACGAGAAAACGUGACGAUGAUGAGUAAGAGUGACAUGAUGACGAGAAACGUUGACAUGAUGACGAGUAAUCA